rnacentral:rRNA from 1 species
CCUACGGGUGGCUGCAGUGAGGAAUAUUGGUCAAUGGGCGCGAGCCUGAACCAGCCAAGUCGCGUGAGGGAGGAAGGCCCUACGGGUUGUAAACCUCUUUUGCCGGGGAGCAACGGGCGUCACGUGUGGCGCCACUGAGAGUACCCGGAGAAACAGCAUCGGCUAACUCAGUGCCAGCAGCCGCGGUAAUACGGGGGAUGCGAGCGUUAUCCGGAUUUAUGGGGGUUAAAGGGUGCGUAGGCGGAUCGUUAAGUCAGUGGGCAAAGUGAGGGGCUCAACCCCUUCCCGCCAUUGAAACUGGCGUUCUUGAGUGGAAGAGAAGUAUGCGGAAUGCGUGGUGUAGCGGUGAAAUGCAUAGAUAUCACGCAGAACCCCGAUUGCGAAGGCAGCAUGCCGGCUUCCGACUGACGCUGAAGCACGAAAGCGUGGGGAGCGAACAGGAUUAGAUACCCUGGUAGUC